rnacentral:rRNA from 1 species
CGCGGCCUAUCAGCUUGUUGGUGGGGUAAUGGCCUACCAAGGCAUCGACGGGUAGCUGGUCUGAGAGGACGAUCAGCCACACUGGGACUGAGACACGGCCCAGACUCCUACGGGAGGCAGCAGUAGGGAAUCUUGCGCAAUGGGCGAAAGCCUGACGCAGCAACGCCGCGUGGGGGAUGACGGCUCUAGGGUUGUAAACCCCUUUCAGCAGGGACGAAAAUGACGGUACCUGCAGAAGAAGCUCCGGCCAACUACGUGCCAGCAGCCGCGGUAACACGUAGGGGGCGAGCGUUGUCCGGAAUUAUUGGGCGUAAAGAGCUCGUAGGCGGUUUGGUAAGUCGGAUGUGAAAACUCAGGGCUCAACCCGGAGAGGCCAUCCGAUACUGCCAUGACUAGAGUCCGGUAGAGGAGUGUGGAAUUCCUGGUGUAGCGGUGAAAUGCGCAGAUAUCAGGAGGAACACCAACGGCGAAGGCAGCACUCUGGGCCGGUACUGACGCUGAGGAGCGAAAGCGUGGGGAGCAAACAGGAUUAGAUACCCCGGUAGUCCACGCCGUAAACGCUGGGCACUAGGUGUGGGGCCUUAUCAACGGGCUCCGUGCCGUAGCUAACGCAUUAAGUGCCCCGCCUGGGGAGUACGG